AGAUUGAACGCUGGCGGCAUGCCUAACACAUGCAAGUCGAACGGGAGUAGCAAUACUCUAGUGGCGGACGGGUGAGGAAUACGUAGGAAUUUGCCCUUAAGUGGGGGAUAACCCGGGGAAACCCGGAUUAAUACCGCAUGACCUCGAAAGAGCAAAGUGGGGGAUCGCAAGACCUCACGCUUUUGGAGAAGCCUACGUCGGAUUAGCUAGUUGGUGAGGUAAUGGCUCACCAAGGCGACGAUCCGUAACUGGUCUGAGAGGAUGAUCAGUCACACCGGAACUGAGACACGGUCCGGACUCCGUACGGGAGGCAGCAGGUGGGAAUAUUGGACAAGUGGGCGCAAGCCUAGGACUCCGAGCAAUGCCGCGUGUGUGGAAGAAGGUCGUUCGGUGUAAGCUACGUUUAAGUAGGUAAGAAAAACUCGACUACUAACACUAAGUGAGUUCUUGUACCGGUACCGAACGAGAAUAAGACCGACGCAACGU
rnacentral:rRNA from 1 species